ensembl:lncRNA novel transcript
GGCGGCGCCACCGCGCGCCUUCCUCAGCCGCUGUUAACCCCGGGGUCUAGAGAAGCACUGAGAGGACUCCUCAGCCUGUGCCAGAUAAUUUCCACUGGAUAUUAAUAAGAUCCUGUGGUGAUGUUAACCAGGUUUGAGCACUAGCAUUCCUAAUGUGCAUUGAACACCUCCUGUCUUAUGCUUAUUUAUGCCAGUUUUAGCGGUUUUCCAAAUCUCUAAGGCGCUGUGCACAAUUAAAAUAGCAGAGUUCCCAUCUCCAAGGAAUUUGCAACCAUAGACAGCACAGUGAAGACAGGUGUUAACUUGAAGGCAGCGCACAAACGGGAGGCAAUUGAAGUUGUCACCUACUGUACAACACAGUGGCCCUUGUAUGAAGAUCCAAGACACAUAUGGAAAUUAAAGAUUUAAUUAUCACUCCUUUGGAGGAUUUGUUGGCCAUCAGCAACUUGGGCUUAACUUGGGUCCAAUUUUAUAAUUUUAGUAAAUUAUAAUAAUAUUUAUGAUAUCUAUAACUAUAUACUAGUGCUUGGUCUUAUUGUUCAGAUAUAGCUAUAGUUUUUCUUGUUUAAUUUUUAUGUGUUUAUUUUUUAUUUUGUUGAAUUAAUUUUGUCUUUCAUCGGUAUUUGUUAGUUCCUCAUUUUUUUGUGUCUUUCUGUGUAUGUAAAUAGGUAAUUCCUCUAAAUAACAUUUCUUUUGUUAUCAA